GAGUGAAAUGAUGCUUACCAUCUUUCGGGACUGACCUGAUAUGGAGAUACAUUACUUUACUGAUCACUC
rnacentral:snoRNA from 13 species